rnacentral:ncRNA from 1 species
AGCACUUGGCAAAAAAGAUAAAAUCUCCUAGAAACUGAAGUUUCUUCGUCAAUUUUCCUAUUUUUGCUUUGUGCU